GACGAACGCUGGCGGCGUGCUUAACACAUGCAAGUCGAACGGAAAGGCCCUGCUUUUGUGGGGUGCUCGAGUGGCGAACGGGUGAGUAACACGUGAGUAACCUGCCCUUGACUUUGGGAUAACUUCAGGAAACUGGGGCUAAUACCGGAUAGGAGCUCCUGCUGCAUGGUGGGGGUUGGAAAGUUUCGGCGGUUGGGGAUGGACUCGCGGCUUAUCAGCUUGUUGGUGGGGUAGUGGCUUACCAAGGCUUUGACGGGUAGCCGGCCUGAGAGGGUGGCCGGCCACAUUGGGACUGAGCUACGGCCCAGACUCCUACGGGAGGCAGCAGUGGGGAAUAUUGCACAAUGGGCGGAAGCCUGAUGCAGCAACGCCGCGUGCGGGAUGACGGCCUUCGGGUUGUAAACCGCUUUCGCCUGUGACGAAGCGUGAGUGACGGUAAUGGGUAAAGAAGCACCGGCUAACUACGUG
rnacentral:rRNA from 1 species